rnacentral:rRNA from 1 species
AUUGAACGCUGGCGGCAGGCCUAACACAUGCAAGUCGACCGAGUGGCGGACGGGUGAGUAAUGUCCGGGAAACUGCCUGACGGAGGGGGAUAAUUACUGGAAACGGUAGCUAAUACCGCAUACCAUCAAGUGUGCCCAGAUGGGACUAGCUUGUUGGUGGGGGAACGGCUCACAAAGGCGACGUUCCCUAGCUGGUCUGAGAGGAUUACCCGCCACACUGGAACUGAGACACGGUCCAUACUCCGAAGGGAGGCAGCAGUGGGGAAUAGUACACAAGGGGCGCAAGCCUGAUGCAGCCAUGCCGCGUGUAUGAAGAUGGCCUUCGGGUUGUAAAGUACUUUCAGCGGGUAUGCGUUACCCGCAGAAGAAGCGCCGGCUAACUCCGUGCCAGCAGCCGCGGUAAUUC